GACGAACGCUGGCGGCGUGCUUAACACAUGCAAGUCGAGCGGAAAGGCCACUUCGGUGGUACUCGAGCGGCGAACGGGUGAGUAACACGUGAGUAAUCUGCCCCUGGCUUUGGGAUAGCCACCGGAAACGGUGAUUAAUACCGGAUAUGACCACUUCACGCAUGUGAUGGUGGUGGAAAGUUUUUCGGCCAGGGAUGUGCUCGCGGCCUAUCAGCUUGAUGGUGAGGUAAUGGCUCACCAUGGCCUCGACGGGUAGCCGGCCUGAGAGGGUGACCGGUCACACUGGGACUGAGACACGGCCCAGACUCCUACGGGAGGCAGCAGUGGGGAAUAUUGGACAAUGGGCGGAAGCCUGAUCCAGCAACGCCGCGUGAGGGAUGACGGCCUUCGGGUUGUAAACCUCUUUCAGUACCGACGAAGCGCAAGUGACGGUAGGUACAGAAGAAGCACCGGCCAACUACGUGCCAGCCGCCGCCGUAAGAC
rnacentral:rRNA from 1 species